rnacentral:misc_RNA from 1 species
GCCAUCAACAUUUUUCACAAGAAGAUGAAAUAGUGAAGCUAAAACUACCAUUUAUAUGAGAAAUAUAUAAUUUUAAAUAAAAGAAAACGUCUUUUUUUGUUGAUCAAGAAGAUAUACCCACACCAAGAAAAUCUAUGAAUUGAACCUCCUUGUGUCUGAUCAUAGAUUCUUGAUCUCCUUGUUCUGCCUGGUUACUCACUUUCUUAUUAUUCUUCAAUGUGGAUGAGUUAUAGCAAAAAUUGGCCAACUCUUUCUUGAUCAUUCCAUGGUUUUCAUGCUCAUCUCCAAGUUUUAGGUACCCAAACGUACUUGGAACAACCCUUCUGUAGUUUGGAAGCCCCCAAACAGUGGAACUCCGAUGCAUGGAAGAAUUUGGGUAGCAUCCAUAAAUAGAUUGUUGAUCUAAAAUUGAGGAGUUCUUGGUAUUGUAAAAACUAGAAUUAUUGAAGUAAUCUCUUCCUUCUAAUUUUCUGGAUGAUAAAUGAUCAACUACUGAAGGCGAAUUGUAUGAUGGGUCAAACGUCCAGGAAGGUGAAGAAGUAUUAGAGGAAGAGACGACUGAGAAUAUCCUAUCUGCACUGGGGUUUCGAAAUUCCAAGACUCUAGUUCUAUUUUCAAAUCCAAUUCCUGAGCUCAACAGGUCUUGAGACCUUAAUUUUCUUGGAUGAAAAUAAUUAGGGGUGGUAGUGUUGGAGUCACUUGAGCCUUCUUGAUAACUUCUCUUUCCACUUACUUUGGAUUGUUCCCUUUGUUUUCUUGCUGUUAUUACAUGCCAGUGGUUCUUCACAGCAUUAUCAGUUCGACCUGGAAAUAGUCUGGCUAUUAGAGCCCAUUUGUUUCCAUGAAUACGAUGAGCUGCCAGUAAUCUCUCCUCUUCUUCUUCUGUGAAUGGUCUCCUGUUGAUUCUAGGGUCGAGUUGAUUAAACCACCUCAAUCUGCAACUCUUCCCUGAUCUUCC